CUCGUAGGUGGCUGAGUAAGUCGGAUGUCAAAUCUCCAGGCUCAACCUGGAACACCAUUCGAUACUGCUCUGGCUAGAGUCCGGUAGGGGAGCGUGGAAUUCCUGGUGUAGCGGUGAAAUGCGCAGAUAUCAGGAGGAACACCAGCGGCGAAGGCGGCGCUCUGGGCCGGCACUGACACUGAGGAGCGAAAGCAUGGGUAGCAAACA
rnacentral:rRNA from 1 species